GUCCACGCCGUAACGAUGGAUACUAGCUGUUCGGAGCAAUCUGAGUGGCUAAGCGAAGUGAUAAGUAUCCCACCUGGGAGUACGUUCGCAAGAAUGAACUCAAGGAAUUGACGGGCCCGCACAAGCGGUGGAGCAUGUGGUUUAAUUCGAUGAUACGCGAGGAACCUUACCAAGGCUUAAAUGUAGAUUGACCGGUUUGGAAACAGAUCUUUCGCAAGACAAUUUACAAGGUGCUGCAUGGUUGUCGU
rnacentral:rRNA from 1 species